UGAGACAGGAAAGAGAGAAAGUGCCGAGC
rnacentral:piRNA from 1 species